UACGGAGGGUGCAAGCGUUAUCCGGAUUUACUGGGUUUAAAGGGUGCGUAGGUGGGCAGUUAAGUCAGUGGUGAAAUCUCCGGGCUUAACCCGGAAACUGCCAUUGAUACUAUCUGUCUUGAAUAUCGCGGAGGUAAGCGGAAUAUGUCAUGUAGCGGUGAAAUGCUUAGAUAUGACAUAGAACACCAAUUGCGAAGGCAGCUUACUACCCGAAUAUUGACACUGAGGCACGAAAGCGUGGGGAUCAAACAGG
rnacentral:rRNA from 1 species